AAAUUGAAGAGUUUGAUCAUGGCUCAGAUUGAACGCUGGCGGCAGGCCUAACACAUGCAAGUCGAACGGUAACAGGAAGCAGCUUGCUGCUUCGCUGACGAGUGGCGGACGGGUGAGUAAUGUCUGGGAAACUGCCUGAUGGAGGGGGAUAACUACUGGAAACGGUAGCUAAUACCGCAUAACGUCGCAAGACCAAAGAGGGGGACCUUCGGGCCUCUUGCCAUCGGAUGUGCCCAGAUGGGAUUAGCUUGUUGGUGGGGUAACGGCUCACCAAGGCGACGAUCCCUAGCUGGUCUGAGAGGAUGACCAGCCACACUGGAACUGAGACACGGUCCAGACUCCUACGGGAGGCAGCAGUGGGGAAUAUUGCACAAUGGGCGCAAGCCUGAUGCAGCCAUGCCGCGUGUAUGAAGAAGGCCUUCGGGUUGUAAAGUACUUUCAGCGGGGAGGAAGGGAGUAAAGUUAAUACCUUU
rnacentral:rRNA from 4 species